GACGGAGGGUGCAAGCGUUGUUCGGAAUUACUGGGCGUAAAGGGCGCGUAGGCGGCCUGUUAAGUCGGACGUGAAAUCCCCGGGCUCAACCCGGGAACUGCGUCCGAUACUGGCAGGCUUGAAUCCGGGAGAGGGAUGUGGAAUUCCAGGUGUAGCGGUGAAAUGCGUAGAUAUCUGGAGGAACACCGGUGGCGAAGGCGGCAUCCUGGACCGGCAUUGACGCUGAGGCGCGAAAGCCAGGGGAGCAAACGGG
rnacentral:rRNA from 1 species